ACACCUUUUAAGAGAGGUCCAGAGAGGCUUAGAAGGGUGUUUGGAGGAAACGCGGGGAUACUUGUACCAUUUUUAGGGACAGGUGUACCUUUGUGGACUCAAAACACCCUGACAAAAGAAGGUCAGGGUGUUUUUUAUU
rfam:Bacillus sp. SG-1 1101501000801, whole genome shotgun sequence.